rnacentral:misc_RNA from 1 species
AAAGAAAACUAAAUUGCAGACCAUCUAAUUCCUCUCCUGAAAAAAAUUGAAUGAAAAAAUAAAACUGAAAACUAAACAUAUGCUCAAGAAAGGGGGUAAAAAAAUGCAAGCUCACAACAUAGCUUUAACGUUAAAUUGGACACCAAAUGCUUAAUAAAGAAAGAAAAAGAAAUUAAAGGUGUUUGCAAUGGACUGCAAGCAAAAAACAAAACUCGAAUUUGUCCAUCAAUCAUGAACACAAGUCUCUGGGCAACAGAAGCAGCUAAAAAUGCACUGAAGCUGUCCCUUCCACUCUUUAUCAGUUUGAGUCCAACCAGUUCAGAAGGCUCCUUAGAUCUAACAAGAUAUAGAUUUGAAACCCAAGCUUCUUCCACUGGUAAUACAUAACUGCUGGAAACUGAAUGAUAUGAUCAAAGGAAACCGUUCGAGAAGAG